rnacentral:SRP_RNA from 1 species
ACUGGGAGCGUGGCGUCUCCUGUAAUCCGGCUGCUCGGAGGUCGGGUAUGGAGGAUGGUUUGAGGUCGGGAGUCCUGGUGCUGUGUGGCCCAUGUUGACUGGACGUCCACACUAAGCCUGGUAUUGAUAUGGAACCCCCGGAGGAGUCUGGGGGUUGAUGCACAGUAACAGCCUGACCAAUACAAUCAGACCCUUUCCUUU